rnacentral:tRNA from 2 species
AGCUCGGUAGGUUAGCUGACAAAUCACUCGUCUAAUAUACAAGAGACGUGAGUUCAAAUCUCACCUGAGCAC